rnacentral:rRNA from 1 species
UACGAAGGGGGCUAGCGUUGUUCGGAAUCACUGGGCGUAAAGCGCACGUAGGCGGAUUGCUAAGUCAGGGGUGAAAUCCUGGAGCUCAACUCCAGAACUGCCUUUGAUACUGGCGACCUUGAGUCCGGGAGAGGUGAGUGGAACUGCGAGUGUAGAGGUGAAAUUCGUAGAUAUUCGCAAGAACACCAGUGGCGAAGGCGGCUCACUGGCCCGGUACUGACGCUGAGGUGCGAAAGCUAGGGGAGCGAACAGG